rnacentral:rRNA from 1 species
UAAUACGUAGGGUCCGAGCGUUGUCCGGAGUUACUGGGCGUAAAGCGCGCGCAGGCGGCUCGUCAAGCAUGGCGUGAAAGCCCCCGGCUCAACUGGGGAGAGUCGUCGUGGACUGGCGGGCUUGAGGGCGGCAGGGGCUGGUGGAAUUCCCGGUGUAGUGGUGAAAUGCGUAGAGAUCGGGAGGAACACCCGUGGCGAAGGCGGCCAGCUGGGCCGGCCCUGACGCUGAGGCGCGAAGGCGUGGGGAGCGAACGGG